rnacentral:lncRNA from 1 species
CUCUCUCUCUCUUUCUCAGUAUCUGUCUUCCUUCUUGUCAUCGAUCUUCACAGGCGUACGUUUGAAUUGGGUGCUCUGCAACUUCCUCAAUACUUGGAUCCCCUCUCUCUCUCUCUCUCUCCGUCGACUAUUUAGUCCAUCUCUCUUUCUCGUUCGAACCAACCAGUCGCAGUGUUUUGAUCUCCCCUUGGUAAACUUCGCUGCACAUAUGUCUCCGUGCUUGGGUGUCCUUCAAACUCCAUGAGAGAGGAAUUAAAUACUGUGAUCCCUCUCUCUCUCUCUUUCUCUCUCUCUCUUCCGGCACUUCACCAAAUUCUGAGUUGGGUGUCCUACCAAACUGCAUAAAAUAGGACCAUCCAUAACUCUUCCUUUCGGGGAUCUCUCUCCCACUCCAACUCUUCAGCCCCAUGCACAUCAACGCUUGAAUCUUGGGUGCUCUACGGACAUCUAGAAAAAUGGAGGUCGAAGCUUGAGUCUCCCUUGGGAUCCUUCAUCUGCCACUCUUUGAGCCAUAAAAGCAUUUAUAAUUGCUUGUUCUUGGAAGCGAUUCAGAGGUGUACUGAGUUUGUGGUGCU